rnacentral:rRNA from 1 species
CAAGCGGUGGAGCAUGUGGUUUAAUUCGAUGCAACGCGAAAAACCUUACCUGGUCUUGACAUCCACGGAAGUUUUCAGAGAUGAGAAUGUGCCUUCGGGAACCGUGAGACAGGUGCUGCAUGGCUGUCGUCAGCUCGUGUUGUGAAAUGUUGGGUUAAGUCCCGCAACGAGCGCAACCCUUAUCCUUUGUUGCCAGCGGUCCGGCCGGGAACUCAAAGGAGACUGCCAGUGAUAAACUGGAGGAAGGUGGGGAUGACGUCAAGUCAUCAUGGCCCUUACGACCAGGGCUACACACGUGCUACAAUGGCGCAUACAAAGAGAAGCGACCUCGCGAGAGCAAGCGGACCUCAUAAAGUGCGUCGUACUCCGGAUUGGAGUCUGCAACUCGACUCCAUGAAGUCGGAAUCGCUAGUAAUCGUGGAUCAAAAUGCCACGGUGAAUACGUUCCCGGGCCUUGUACACACC